CCUACGGGGGGCUGCCGUGGGGAAUAUUGGACAAUGGGGGCAACCCUGAUCCAGCCAUGCCGCGUGUGUGAAGAAGGCCCUCGGGUUGUAAAGCACUUUCAGUGAGGAAGAACGCCUGGUGGUUAAUACCCAUCAGGAAAGACAUCACUCACAGAAGAAGCACCGGCUAACUCCGUGCCAGCAGCCGCGGUAAUACGGAGGGUGCGAGCGUUAAUCGGAAUUACUGGGCGUAAAGCGCGCGUAGGUGGCUUGAUAAGCCGGUUGUGAAAGCCCCGGGCUCAACCUGGGAACGGCAUCCGGAACUGUCAAGCUAGAGUGCAGGAGAGGAAGGUAGAAUUCCCGGUGUAGCGGUGAAAUGCGUAGAGAUCGGGAGGAAUACCAGUGGCGAAGGCGGCCUUCUGGACUGACACUGACACUGAGGUGCGAAAGCGUGGGUAGCAAACAGGAUUAGAUACCCUGGUAGUC
rnacentral:rRNA from 1 species